CGAAAAAAAGAACAAAAAAAAAAAAAAAAAAAGAGUAGAUACAGAGGGCUGGAGAGAUGGCUCAGUGGGUAAGAGCAUUUGUUACACGAGCAUGACCUGAGUCUGGAUUCUAACGUUCACAUAAAAUAUUGGCCGUGACAACAUAUACCUAUAAAUGCAAGCCUGGGCAUGGGGGUGGAGGCAGGAAGAUUGCUGGGACAUACUGGUUGUGUGCACAUACAGACACAAACCACACGUACGUACCAAACCACCACCACCCCACCACACCACACGCACACACGGGUGGGGCGGAGGCAACGGUUGUGGCUGUGGCGGUACUGCGUGCCCCGGUUGCUGGAUCUGAGAGGUACUGACAGAAGAGCUCUGGAAAAUAGACAACCUGUCCAGAACCUACACCACAUGCUAUGGACCUGCGACAUGUGGACACCACGUCCUGUGGACACUGGAGUCGUUCAUUUCCAUGGAAACUUGUAGGUUACUUUACAAGAGAUUGAAUGCCUACCAGCUACCAAGCUUAACCACGAGGCCUCAUAAUGAAGUGGACUUCAUGUUGUGAGCUCUAAGACCCAGAAGACCACAUGUCAGUAAUUAUAAUAUCAUACACCAAUGAACUUAAGGAGCCAUUGAUUCUAUUAAGUAAUUUUAUGUCAAGCUAAAAAGGGAAAAUGGGGCCGGGCUCAACAACUGAGAGUACAUACUGUUCUUGCAGAGGAUCUGAGCUGGGUUCCCAACACCCAUAUGGGUUGAGUCAAACCACCUGUAACUACAGCGUCAGAAGGUCCAUCCCCCUUUCUGGACUCUGCCAGCACCUGGGCUCAAAUAUACAUACGUGCUCAUGCAUGUCCGUGAACAUACACACACAUUAAAAAUAUUAAAAUGCGUGUUUUGUUUAUUUGGUUUCCUGAGACAGGGUUUCUGUGUGUAGCCCUGGCUGUUCUGGAACUUGAUCUGUAGUCUGGCCUCCACUCACAGAGAUCCUCCUGCCUCUGCCUCCUGAGUGCAGGGAUCGAAGGCAUGUGCCGCCACCAUCAGGCUAAAAUAAAAAAUUUAAAAGGAAAAUUCUGGCAAUUAAGUCAUCCAUACAGGACUAUAGGCCCAAUAUUGAAGGUGAAUUAGAGGAUGGAUUGAACCCAGGACUUUGAAGCCAGUCUGUGCAACAUAGUAUAAAGCCCUCUCUUACACAUAGAAACCAAAAUCCAAAAUCCAACCAAACCAAACAGUAACAAACACGUGGUAUCUAUGGUCACAAGCAUCCCGAUCUCAGGAGCUAAGAUAGAACAGCAAUGAAAGUAACCAUUAAAUUAUGAUCUAUUCUCUAUAUGUGGUUUUAUUUAAGUUCUUGCCAAAACUUUUCACUCGUAUGCACCGAGUGCAGGUACUCUGUAGACAUCAGGGCUACCAGGGUCUAACCUGUGCCUUGGAGGAGCUCUGGUCUGCCCGUGAUGCUCUGUCCCAGGGAAGGUUAGCAAACAGAGUAGGACAAUGUGUGGAUGAUGGAGUAAAGAUAGCCCAAGGACCAAUAUGUAGGCGUGGAGAUUAAGAAGGGGUUUGGGUACCAGGGCUUUACUGAGGAAGUGCUGUUCAGAGGUUGCAGCUACAGCCCACAGGCAGCCCCUGAAGCACAGACAGCUACACCACAAUCAGUCCCACCGGCAGCUCCUCUGGUGGGGACAGCGGUGACCUUUUAACCAUCAGCAAAGUUGCCAACCUGGUAAAAGGAACCCUGGAGAACUCCAACCCUAUGUAUGCAUGAGCUUCCCUUGCUGGGGGAAUAAAGGAAGGCAUCCUGAAAGUGCUAUAAACUGUGAUCUGCUUGGGAGACCCGGACAUGGGUUACCUGCCACCUGCCGCUGAAGAGAAGCGGGAGUGAGGUGGAGACAUCUUGGGGAACCUCAGGUUGUCUGUCUGUGGGGACAGGCUGGGAUGUUGGAUGGUCCCAGGAUCCUGAGUGUGCUAAUUGAUCUGGUUCACAGCCUCAGCUUUCUGCCGUAGGUGAUAGGAACUACUAAGGAAUCUGAUGGUUUGUGGGUCAUACAAUGUGAAUAGCCAGGAGCAAAGAGACCAGUUAGGAGGUGAGGAGAGGACAGCCUCCUCAAAUCAAAGACCUGGUGUGGGCCAGCCAUUUAAAACUCUCUUGUCUUCACUUUGCAGAGGAGCAAAUAGAAUGUUUAAGUAACCUGCUCAAAUCAAGGGCAUCCGGCUAGUUAGUGUGAGCCAGGAUUUGGAACUAGACCUGAG
ensembl:lncRNA